rnacentral:ncRNA from 1 species
CGCUAUCUGUUAGUAAAAGGGAAUCCGGUGCAAGUCCGGAACUGUACCCGUAGCUGUAAGUUCUGUAACCCCGGCAAUCUUGUUGCCACUGGGAAUUUAUGAUUCCUGGGAAGGCGGCCGGUCAUGGGAGAACAAGUCAGAAAACCUGCCAUUAUUUU